rnacentral:rRNA from 1 species
CCAGCAGCUGCGGUAAUUCCAGCUCUAAUAGCGUAUAUUAAAGUUGUUGCAGUUAAAAAGCUCGUAGUCGGAUGUCGGGCUCGGGGAGGCUGUCGGCCUUUGGUCGGAUGGCAUGUCCGGGCCUUUCUGCCUGGGGAUCCUACUCUACUUAACUGUAGGGUAGUGGGACGCAGGCCGUUUACUUUGAAAAAAUUAGAGUGUUCAAAGCAGGCCUACGCUUGAAUACAUUAGCAUGGAAUAAUGGAAUAGGACUUUGGUUCUAUUUUGUUGGUUCUAGGACCGAAGUAAUGAUUAAUAGGGAUAGUUGGGGGCAUUCGUAUUUAAUUGUCAGAGGUGAAAUUCUUGGAUUUAUGAAAGACGAACAUCUGCGAAAGCAUUUGCCAAGUAUGUUUUCAUUGAUCAAGAGCGAAAGU